rnacentral:rRNA from 1 species
GACGAACGCUGGCGGCGUGCUUAACACAUGCAAGUCGAACGGAAAGGCCCUGCUUUUGUGGGGUGCUCGAGUGGCGAACGGGUGAGUAACACGUGAGUAACCCGUCCUUGACUUUGUGAUAACUUCAGGAAACUGGGGCUAAUACAGCAUAGGAGCUCCUGCAGCAUGGUGGGGGUUGGAAAGUUUCGGCGGUUGGGGAUGGAAUCGAGGCUUAUCAGCUUCUUGGUGGAGUAGUGGCUUACGAGGGAUUUGACGGGUAGCCGACCUGGGAGCGUGGCCGGCCACAAGGGGACUGAGCUAGGGCCCAGUCUCCUACGUUAGGCAGCGGGCGAGAAUAUUGCACAACGGGCGGAAGCGAGAUGUAGCAGCGCUGCGAGCGGAAAGAUGGCAUAUGGGUGGUGAACAGAUUUGUACUGAGAUGAAGCGUGCGUGACGGUACCGGAUAAAGAAGCAACGGCUAACUACGUG